UGAUCUUCUGAACACAACUUCAGGAGAAAAAAAAAUCUUUUUUUUGGGAAAAAAAAAAUACAUUUAUGUAUUAGACUGGAAAUUUUGUGUUCAUUUUUAAUAGACUGCUCUGAAAAUAUAGAACUUUACAAUCUAAUUAACUACUAUGUAAUUUGGAUGCAUAAAUUAAUAUAAAGGAUAUGAUUAUAUUAGCUGAUGUUUCAUUCAUUUCUAUUUCAAGAAGCCUACAUGUCACUAAAGAUACUAGGAUGAGAGUAAGCACAGCAGGAUAAUUGGGUAUAAUAUUAAUAUCUUUGAAAAAAUGUCAUUUUGUAUCAAUUCUUAAAUUUAAAUAAUUAUUAAUAAUAAUAAUAAUCUAAUGUAUGAAUAGAAAGUAAACACUUUAAAAGUAAAAUUAAUUGUGUGCUUUAUCUUUUUAUCCUCUAAAAGCUCACUUGGCAAUGUAUCACAUUCCAACCUUUAUUUGAAGCCCAAUGGAAUUUUGUAAUAGUCUUACCCAGCACCAGCUGUUCCUACACAACAUACUAUUCCUCUUUCAGCACCUAGAGAAUGUAACACUUAUCCCUGAAACAUUAUAAUUUCUACACCGCAUGCUACUUUUAAAUUCAGAUUUAAGGUUUGAGUAUUGAGCUUAAAAAAAAACAGCCAUAUUUGAGAAACUGUAUGACAGAAAUAUCUGUGAUAUUGUUUACUAUUCUCAGUGUCUGUAUAUGUGAAUGUUUUUAAUUUUACACAUUUCUGUAAGCCAGUAUGGCUUAAAGUACAAAAUAAUCGACGUCCAAUUUGUAUAAACUGAUCAAAUUUGUAAUUUUGCCGCAUUUGAUCUAAAAUAGUGUCCUGAUGUUUCUCUUCGAGCUUAAUAUAGCUGCACAUCUAAACAGUUGCAGAAUGUAAUAUGUGGAGGAAAAGAAUGAAGAAGCAAUAACUGUGAUUUUAUAAAAGCCACAAGACUGCAAAAAUAUGUCAUAGAAAAAGGUUUACAAUAAGAGAAAACCAUUUUAUCUUUGAUCACAAUGCUUCAAAAAACAAGUGUAUUUUUACUGAGUUCUUACUCAGGCCCUGUGAGUAAACUCAAGCUUCAAAUAAAUUUAUUAUGCUGAAAAAAUAAAUAAAUUAAUGAAUUCUGAGGUUUCAUUUUAUAAUUAUUUUCCCCUAUCCCUUUCAGUUCUUUUUUCCUUUUUUUUUUUUUUUUUUUUUUUUUUCCUUCCAAUCAACGGAAAUCCCAUGCUAUACAGUGAAAAGUUCAGAAAGAAGGAGGUUGGUUCCUCAUGGGUCUUCAUUACUUACUGAGAGUCAAUUUGAUUGCAUGCUACUAAUGCGUUAAUUUUUAUCAUUAUUCUAGGUCAUCAAGACAAGCAAUGGCGUGACAUCACUGAAAAUAAUUUUAAGUCAGAAAUUGGAUUAAUUUUUGCUCCCAGCAUCAGUGGGAGUACUAGGGUUCAAGGAAUCCAUGGGUUCGUUUAGGUGUCUGUUCUUUUGCUUGAUGUUUUUGACUACAGUACAUUUAAGCAAAUCUAAUGAAAAACACUAAUUCCAAUUUUAACUGAACAUGCAUAUUUAUCUCUAUAAAAAAUCUAUUUUAAAAAUCCACUAUUUACUUCAUGUGUUUAAACAAAUCAGCAGUAGAUAUAAAAAAGGACUCUACUAAAUCAGUCGUCCAAAUUUGUGCACAGAUAGGCAGCUACAUCACUUUUAACACUGCAGAUUUGCAUGUUAGUCAAUAAUACUAUUCACAGGCUAAGCAUAAAGCUCACACAAGCUUGUUGUGGUUUGGUGCAGAAUCACAGUUUCAAGAAACUAAGCUAGUUUGUAGUGGUGACCAAAGUUAAUGAAGAAAAAAUCCUCAGUUUUGAUUUGAUUUGACUUCUUGUGAAAUAAAUGGGAAUUUUUGCAGUAGUGGAAACACUGUUAAGAAAACAAUGACUUCUAACAACGAGGUUUUAUUUUGUUAAAUCAAACUAUUACCGUUGAAAUUGCAAUCUGCUUUCAUUAAUGCUUAAAAUUGAGAAUACUAAUUUAGAACACAAUGUUUCAACCAAUCCUGUUGCAAGUUCAUAAAUGGGCAUUACUCAAUAGGGUAACCUUAGAGAGAGGUAUGAAGGAUAAGACUUAAAAGGAGACAAUUUUGUUUUGAAGGCGUGUAGGAGGCCAUCUUCC